AAGAAUUUAGUAAAAAUAUUACAUUAGUUUGUCAAACUAAAAUUACCUACCGUGUUUCUUA
rnacentral:tRNA from 1 species